rnacentral:lncRNA from 1 species
UUUUCACGAGACAAGCGCUGCAAGGUUUCUGCAAUAGUAUUUCAACAGUCCACAUUGACUUAAUAUUUGCCUUUAGUGUCCCUUUAAUGUUUGGCCCAUCAGCUAGG